AGGCGACGAUCCCUAGCUGGUCUGAGAGGAUGACCAGCCACACUGGAACUGAGACACGGUCCAGACUCCUACGGGAGGCAGCAGUGGGGAAUAUUGCACAAUGGGCGCAAGCCUGAUGCAGCCAUGCCGCGUGUAUGAAGAAGGCCUUCGGGUUGUAAAGUACUUUCAGCGGGGAGGAAGGGAGUAAAGUUAAUACCUUUGCUCAUUGACGUUACCCGCAGAAGAAGCACCGGCUAACUCCGUGCCAGCAGCCGCGGUAAUACGGAGGGUGCAAGCGUUAAUCGGAAUUACUGGGCGUAAAGCGCACGCAGGCGGUUUGUUAAGUCAGAUGUGAAAUCCCCGGGCUCAACCUGGGAACUGCAUCUGAUACUGGCAAGCUUGAGUCUCGUAGAGGGGGG
rnacentral:rRNA from 1 species